rnacentral:lncRNA from 1 species
AUAAGGCCACUUUGCAUGUUGCUGCCACCAAUUCUUUAACACAGAAGUUGUGUCACCUGGUAAUUUCCCAGCUCUACGUUUCCUUAAUAUUUCCUCCCUGACAUCUUCAAUUCUUGACUUGAAACCCUGCAGAAAGUAAAACUGGUUGGUGAUUCAAACUUACUGAAAAUAUUAAACCACAUGUAAAGUGCAAGAACAGGUAGCAUUGAGUACAAGAAUGACCUGCUUCAGCUCAAUCUUUAGUUCCUGACGAACUCUCUCCAUCAGUGACCUUUCAGAUUCUGUAGGAAGUAAGGGACCAAAUCCCAUCAUGUCAUGCCCUUCAGCGCUGGAUUGAUCCAAAGAAAAAUCCAUCUGUAAGUCAUCUUCAUCAUCUGACAUUGUUGCACCAGUUCCUUCUCCCAGACUCACUCCUGAAAUAUGACUUAAUUUUGAGAAUGUAACGACAAAAACAACUAGAGAAAUAUAUUUUCACACAUCACAGAACGUAAUGGAUAAAUACAUGGAAAAGAGGGUAGUCAAAACAUAGUAUGGUUGAUAAAACUCUUGUUGAAUACUCCAUCUUGUGAUCAUCUCUUGUACAUAGAAAUUACACUUAAGAAAGGAAAUUUGUUUUGGAUGGAUUUGAUGUGUUAGAGCAGAAGAUGCAUGGCAUAAAUUUUGGGUGAUUUGAAAUUGAAAGUGCAGAUAGAAGGGCCCCUUUGGUUUGUCAGUGGAACAAUGACGGGUCUGAAUAGUGCCAAAAUGUUUGACACAUCUUAAUCAUACAUAAAAGCAUACAAUAAAGUUAGUUGCCGAUAACAUCAAUAAUGGACUAAUCAUCUAUUUUUAAUCAUAAUUCAGGGAUGACAUUGACCAGGCGAAAUUGAAGUUAAUUAUUUUAUCUUAAAGUGAGUUAUACUUUGAAGAUAUCCCACUUAAUACGCCAUAUGUGCAGUCAUAUCAUCCAUAAUUAUCAGCUGCACGUUAGUUGGAUAUCAAAAUAACCAUAAAAAUUCCUCAUAUCUCCUUAAACCUGAAAAUUUCCCCAAAUCCUUCAUGUAUCUAAUAACAUGUUUUAAAUAAAAUAUUCAAAAUAUUGCAAAGCUACUAAUUAGUUACUACUAAUUCAAAAUAAGGUAGGCUCUUAUCAGGUUUACGAAAUCUAAUACUGAUGAUCUAUAAUAUUUUGUGUUUUGAUGUUGUAUAUCUAAAUCCAACAACACUUUCAUGUUGUUAUUUUUUUCAUUUUUGAACUGUCAUGAAAUAAAUCAGUUCAGCAAAUGUAGCAGUUCAAUGUUCAAAACUAAACUAACAAAUUUUUACUAUAGACCCUUAGCUUUUCUAAUUUGCUGGACCUGAAAAUUUCAAUUCAAUCCAACUAAUUUUGCCCACUCCUACUCUUGGCAAUACUUAAUGCGCUCUAUUCAAUUCAAGUGAUUAUUAUGUAGUUUUUCCAACUCAACUAAACUAACCACUGAUACACCCUGGUACAAUUAAUUCAUACAAAUAUUUCCAAAGAAACAAAAUCCUAAAAAAAUAAAGACUUAAUGUAAUAUAAUUGGAGUAAAAUUGAUUUCCUAACAUAUAAAAAUUACAAGAGCAAAACAACUAUUAAACAAUCACUACUAAAUAGAUAAAAGAGGCUUUUUAAAAUCAUGGUAUUUGAUAUAUUAGUAACAAUAAAUUUCACAUUUUUUUUAUUCAAAAAAUUUAAAUUGUCUCAAAGGGUUUCAUAUAG